rnacentral:tRNA from 1 species
CCCAGCCAAUAUGGUGGAUAUGACUCUCGGCUUGUAACCGAGUGGGUUCGGGUUCAAAUCCCGAGUAAGAGA